rnacentral:rRNA from 1 species
AAAUAAACCCAUACUAUGCUAAAAGCACUGCAUGUUCAUCUGAUUUCAGAAGCUAAGCAGGGUCAGGCCUAGGUAGUACUUGGGAGACUGCUGCAGAAGAGGAAGGC